rnacentral:tRNA from 2 species
GCGGAUGUAGUUCAAUGGUAGAACUCCAGCUUCCCAAGCUGAUAACGCGGGUUCGAUUCCCGUCAUCCGCUCCA